GAUGAACGCUGGCGGCGUGCCUAACACAUGCAAGUCGAGCGAUCUUCUUCGGAAGAGAGCGGCGGACGGGUGAGUAACGCGUGGGUAACCUGCCCUGUACACACGGAUAACAUACCGAAAGGUAUGCUAAUACGAGAUAAUAUACUUUUAUCGCAUGGUAGAAGUAUCAAAGCUCUGGCGGUACAGGAUGGACCCGCGUCUGAUUAGCUAGUUGGUAAGGUAACGGCUUACCAAGGCGACGAUCAGUAGCCGACCUGAGAGGGUGAUCGGCCACAUUGGAACUGAGACACGGUCCAAACUCCUACGGGAGGCAGCAGUGGGGAAUAUUGCACAAUGGGCGAAAGCCUGAUGCAGCAACGCCGCGUGAGCGAUGAAGGCCUUCGGGUCGUAAAGCUCUGUCCUCAAGGAAGAUAAUGACGGUACUUGAGGAGGAAGCCCCGGUUAACUACGUGCCAGCAGCCGCGGUAA
rnacentral:rRNA from 1 species